rnacentral:lncRNA from 1 species
UGUCUCCAAGCAACUUCCCGACUCCUUUCUCCGUGAAACUUUCAAUCUUUCUUGCCAACAUUUUGGCGACAUACUGAUCAAAUGUCUUCCGAUUUUCUUUGUGAGCUCGUUGAGACAGGUUACACUUCCAAGUGUAUGAGCAGAUUGCGCCAACGAAAAACCGCCCUGGACGUGGUCACCACUCGAAAAAGAGUUUAUCAUUGAAAACACUGAAAAUAUCAAACCAUGAACAGCCAGCUCUUUGUUUAUUUUGACACUGACCUUGGUUGCUCCCUCAGCACGUGAUUUCUAAUGUGUUCUUUUAUGAGUGUGGGCAUGACCAGUUCGAAAGAAUUCAGUGAAACUUCUAC